rnacentral:lncRNA from 1 species
UGCUCCAGUAGUCCAAAUCACAUCUCUUGGGAGUGGAGAGCCACAGAAAGGUGUUUCAAGUGGCAGAUGAUGCAGUCUUAGGUUGUAAAGUAAAAUUACUUCUUGCCCCAUCUUAU